rnacentral:lncRNA from 10 species
GCCAGGGACUCAAGAGUGCAAGCCGCCCAACCUUGAGCACUAGCCCAGGCCGCGGAAGGACGGCGGCCGAGCUGGCAGUCCCGGCUGGGGAGCUCGCCCUCGGGGUCCGUCCGCUCCGCCCGCCCGAGGACUGGGUGCCUGCCAGCCCCACGGCCCCUCGCCCAGCGCCCGGCUCACAGGCAGAAGCGGUGUCCGGCCCGCCGCGCCCCCCGCCCGGCCCCGACGCCAGCCUUAGGGCUCUACCACCAGGGAGCUGUCGGCGUCCCGGGCGUCCCGCGCCGGCCCGCGCGCCUCGGGGGCGGCAGAGGCGGUCCCGCUUACCUGAGAACGUCUCGCCCGCCGCAGUUAGCAAAAGUCCGGCCAAAGUCGCCAGGGUCUGUGUGACCCGUAUCUUGUGUGACCUGUAUCUUAUGCCGACCUCCUAUCUCAUCCAGUGACCAAGAAUGCCUAACCUCCUGAGAACGCAGCCCAAAGGCAGCCAUGGAUUCCACCCACACUCAAGGAAGGGGAUCACACAGCAGCAUGAACACCAGGAGAGAGGAUCAUGAGGCCACCUUACAGUCUGUCUUCCACAAGGACUCAUCACCUAGGGAUAUAUGCCCUUGUAAGGACUUUGGCUUUUUCUCUGAGACUGGGAGCCAUUGGAAGACUUUGAACCAAGGAAUUACAUGCUGUGAUUUGUUUUAACAGGAAACAAAUGGAAAUAGACUCCCACAGGCUGAGGACAAAAGCACAGGAUCAACUAAGAUGCUAUCCAGGUGAAAGUGGAUGAGGUCAGACUUCAUGGGUCCAAGAAUUAAGGGGUAAAAGAAGGAUUGGCCCUUUCAACAUCACUCACAGUGACUCACCAAUCUUGCAAGUCUAAGCUCCAAUGGAUAGAAAAUUCUUGUUCUCAGCAGAACAUUGCUUCAACCUGGGCACAGUAAGAUGUCCAUGGAAACUAAAGCAAGUCUGAAGCCUGGACAAUUUGGUCUCUUCAAGAGGAGAUAACAGCAGGCAAAAGAAGUUUCUAUAUGAACAUGGGAAAUCAAUUCUAUUAUCAUGAACAGCUACUUAUUGUUCCUGCUACUAUGCAACCUGGAGGACCAUAUCUGGAACCCAGGGAAUUCAUGGGGGCAUCUCAUAAGUGCUCCAGGAUGGGUGAAUCUGUGAAAAAGUCGACCCAAUGUGGACAUAAGUAGAGCUGAGAUCUGCAAGAGAUUGGCCAGCAGACAUGGGCGGUGCCCCACAUCAUGCCCUGCCACCCACCCUGAUUUCAGCAGCAGGUAUGGCAGACAGUUCUUGUGUAUGUGGCAGUAUGUGACCUCCAGUGCCUUCUGCUUCAGAACUUUCUCUGAGGUUGCACUAGCUCACUCAGCUGAGGACAUGUGGUUGGGAAAGUAAAGGGAUUUAAUGUCUUCAGAAGCAACCCCAGAGCAAGAGGUGAUGGGAAUGAUAGAGAAUGUCCAGGCUUCUAUGUUUUGGUGGGAUACUUUUCUGCAUGGGUCCUCAAGGGUUUUCUAGUGGGACAUGAGCCUCAGGUGCCCAGAGCAGCAAACAACUCAAUAACAUACAUUGCAUUGGCUUUGGCUUUUAUUCCUUCCGUUCCUCAAACUUUCCCUCCUUAACUUCUGCCUCUCGGGAUCACCACCCAAAUCCAGCUUAGGCGCUAGUCUCCCCUGGCCUGUGCUGUGUGGACCUUCACUGACAGAGGAAGUCCUAAAGUCUACCGAGUCUGCAGCACAGCUCCCAGGAGUCCCUGGGGCAAGCCUAGGGCUUCCAUGGACAACAGAGCCCAGGGCUCUGACUCCUUCUAAAUCCCAAUGUCUUCUUUAUUUCUAAGAAAUGCCCUAUCCACAAAGGGUCAUUUCAAAUGAUAA